rnacentral:rRNA from 1 species
AUUGAACGCUGGCGGCAUGCCUUACACAUGCAAGUCGAACGGCAGCGGGGACUUCGGUCCGCCGGCGAGUGGCGAACGGGUGAGUAAUGUAUCGGAACGUACCAUUCAGUGGGGGAUAACUAUCCGAAAGGAUAGCUAAUACCGCAUAUUCUGUGAGCAGGAAAGCAGGGGAUCGCAAGACCUUGCGCUGAUUGAGCGGCCGAUAUCAGAUUAGCUAGUUGGUGAGGUAACGGCUCACCAAGGCUACGAUCUGUAGCGGGUCUGAGAGGAUGAUCCGCCACACUGGGACUGAGACACGGCCCAGACUCCUACGGGAGGCAGCAGUGGGGAAUUUUGGACAAUGGGCGCAAGCCUGAUCCAGCCAUGCCGCGUGAGUGAAGAAGGCCUUCGGGUGUUAAAGCUCUUUCGGCCGGGAAGAAAUCGCAUCAGCUAAUACCUGGUGUGGAUGACGGUACCGGAAUAAGAAGCACCGGCUAACUACGUGCCAGCAGCCGCAGUAAUAC